rnacentral:rRNA from 2 species
GAGUUUGAUCCUGGCUCAGGACGAACGCUGGCGGCGUGCCUAAUACAUGCAAGUCGAACGAACUCUGGUAUUGAUUGGUGCUUGCAUCAUGAUUUACAUUUGAGUGAGUGGCGAACUGGUGAGUAACACGUGGGAAACCUGCCCAGAAGCGGGGGAUAACACCUGGAAACAGAUGCUAAUACCGCAUAACAACUUGGACCGCAUGGUCCGAGCUUGAAAGAUGGCUUCGGCUAUCACUUUUGGAUGGUCCCGCGGCGCAUUAGCUAGAUGGUGGGGUAACGGCUCACCAUGGCAAUGAUACGUAGCCGACCUGAGAGGGUAAUCGGCCACAUUGGGACUGAGACACGGCCCAAACUCCUACGGGAGGCAGCAGUAGGGAAUCUUCCACAAUGGACGAAAGUCUGAUGGAGCAACGCCGCGUGAGUGAAGAAGGGUUUCGGCUCGUAAAACUCUGUUGUUAAAGAAGAACAUAUCUGAGAGUAACUGUUCAGGUAUUGACGGUAUUUAACCAGAAAGCCACGGCUAACUACGUGCCAGCAGCCGCGGUAAUGCGUAGGUGGCAAGCGUUGUCCGGAUUUAUUGGGCGUAAAGCGAGCGCAGGCGGUUUUUUAAGUCUGAUGUGAAAGCCUUCGGCUCAACCGAAGAAGUGCAUCGGAAACUGGGAAACUUGAGUGCAGAAGAGGACAGUGGAACUCCAUGUGUAGCGGUGAAAUGCGUAGAUAUAUGGAAGAACACCAGUGGCGAAGGCGGCUGUCUGGUCUGUAACUGACGCUGAGGCUCGAAAGUAUGGGUAGCAAACAGGAUUAGAUACCCUGGUAGUCCAUACCGUAAACGAUGAAUGCUAAGUGUUGGAGGGUUUCCGCCCUUCAGUGCUGCAGCUAACGCAUUAAGCAUUCCGCCUGGGGAGUACGGCCGCAAGGCUGAAACUCAAAGGAAUUGACGGGGGCCCGCACAAGCGGUGGAGCAUGUGGUUUAAUUCGAAGCUACGCGAAGAACCUUACCAGGUCUUGACAUACUAUGCAAAUCUAAGAGAUUAGACGUUCCCUUCGGGGACAUGGAUACAGGUGGUGCAUGGUUGUCGUCAGCUCGUGUCGUGAGAUGUUGGGUUAAGUCCCGCAACGAGCGCAACCCUUAUUAUCAGUUGCCAGCAUUAAGUUGGGCACUCUGGUGAGACUGCCGGUGACAAACCGGAGGAAGGUGGGGUUGACGUCAAAUCAUCAUGCCCCUUAUGACCUGGGCUACACACGUGCUACAAUGGAUGGUACAACGAGUUGCGAACUCGCGAGAGUAAGCUAAUCUCUUAAAGCCAUUCUCAGUUCGGAUUGUAGGCUGCAACUCGCCUACAUGAAGUCGGAAUCGCUAGUAAUCGCGGAUCAGCAUGCCGCGGUGAAUACGUUCCCGGGCCUUGUACACACCGCCCGUCACACCAUGAGAGUUUGUAACACCCAAAGUCGGUGGGGUAACCUUUUAGGAACCAGCCGCCUAAGGUGGGACAGAUGAUUAGGGUGAAGUCGUAACAAGGUAACC